rnacentral:tRNA from 1 species
GGGGGUCUAGCUCGGUGGUGGAGUGCAUGCCUAGCGUGCCUGAGGUCCUGGGUUCAGUCCCCAGUAUCUCUA